rnacentral:misc_RNA from 1 species
CCGAGUUGCAAGACUCCCCAACCAUCGUGAACUGCUACCUUGUCGUUGCUUCGGCGGGCGGCCCCCUGGGAGGGGGCCGAUGCCCCGCCCGGCGCCCGCCGGAGCAGCCAGCCUACAUACCAAACCAUGGCCUGUCCUGUCUCUCUGAUUGCCCUUACAGAACGAAUCA